UACAGAGGGUGCGAGCGUUAAUCGGAUUUACUGGGCGUAAAGGGCGCGUAGGCGGUUAUAUGAGUGUGAUGUGAAAGCCCCGGGCUUAACCUGGGAAGAGCAUUGCAAACGAUAUGACUGGAGUAGUUGAGAGGGUGAUGGAAUUUCCGGUGUAGCGGUGAAAUGCGUAGAGAUCGGAAGGAACGUCAAUGGCGAAGGCAGUCACCUGGCAACAUACUGACGCUGAGGCGCGAGAGCGUGGGUAGCGAACAGG
rnacentral:rRNA from 1 species